GAUCAGAAGCCUGAGAACAGCUUACCAAAAGAUAUUCAUGCCUGCUGAUGAAAAUUUCAGGGGUUUUGAAAAAUGUUUUUCUAAGGAAAAUUUAUGGAUUAGGUGUGUGCUUGAUCCGAAGAGGUCUCAAAACAUUGCAAUUCUUUCUUAUUGCAUUUUGUCCAAUUUGGAAGGGCUAUGCUCCAAUCUAUUUAAGACUUGAAGAUUUUGAAGUUUCCUGGCUUUGUCUUCGAAUUCAGGAGGCUUUAUUAAUAGUGACUUUAGACCACAAGAGGAAAGGCUUGAUACAACGCUGUUCAAGUUGGGUUACUGGUGAACGCCUAAGCUUUUUUACUUUAACGGACAUCAAUGCUUUUUUGGUCGUUAAUGUUUGUU